rnacentral:rRNA from 1 species
GGGGGACAGGGUGACAGGUGGUGCAUGGUUGUCGUCAGCUCGUGUCGUGAGAUGUUGGGUUAAGUCCCGCAACGAGCGCAACCCCUACGUUUAGUUGCUAACGCGUGAAGGCGAGCACUCUAGCGAACUGCCGUUGCAAAACGGAGGAAGGUGGGAUGACGUCAAAUCAUCAUGCCCCUUAUGUUCUGGGCUACACACGUGCUACAAUGGCCGGUACAGACGGACGCAAAGCCGCGAGGUGGAGCAAAUCCUAAAAAGCCGGUACUCAGUUCGGAUUGCAGGCUGCAAUUCGCCUGCAUGAAGUCGGAAUCGCUAGUAAUCGCAGGUCAGCAUACUGCGGUGAAUACGUUCCCGGGCCUU